ensembl:lncRNA
AUUGCAGGAAAUCUGGUCCCCGGAGACCUUUCUCUACUCUAGUCUGCCUGCCCCCACGCCCCUGGGUCUCCGGGGCCAUGAGUUUCUAAACGUCACCCUGAGCCACCAUGGAAACCAACCCAUUGGGCUCACCGGCCUUCUUCUUUUGCUUAAAGACGCUCCCGGAUCCCUUUGCUUGGUCAAGAACAUUUGUUCUUUUCCUCGCAUGCCAACUACACUGAGUGGACCAGCUCUUCAUGUCUGCACCUUUCAAUGCCUCAUCUGCACGGCCCCGUCUUCCUUCAACGCUUCUGACAUACAAUUCACGUUGCCAGCAAACCCACGCGCACGCACGCACAGACGCACGCACGGACAGACGACACAGUCGCUCCCUCACGCCCCACUGAGGCGUGUUGCACGCAGCACCUUCUGGUAUUUUUCAACCGGCUGGGUUUUUCAAAGGCUCACGGCAUCCACUCCAUCAACUUGAUGAUCCUUAAGGAAUCGUGACGUCGCCCAAGCAGGGACGAUGGGUUGUCGACUGACCGAACCUCAACUUUCCGAAGUUCAAGUUGCCCUGCAGGGUCUGACCCGGAGUUGCAGAUUGCGUUACACCCUUGGGAGGAAUAAAAGGCAGCCUCCACGUGACACAGGGUUUUGGAGGAAGCCAGGGGGGUAUGUGGACCAGGGGCUGAGAGCCCAGGAGGCCCGGUGCAGCUAAGCGACCCAGAAGACGGGGGCAAAGAGCCGGCUGGAUCCGAGGGGGGCAGACCCAGCACCCGGUUGUGAGUUUUAAUCAAGGACCGUGGCCAAUACGAAUGGCUCUUCCUUCUACGCGUUGCAUUCUCUUCCAUCCUCAGGCUGCCCGGGGAAUUCGAUUAAAUGAAACCCACGUACAACACGCGGACACACGGGGACCAACGGGAAUGCACAGAAGCCGCCGCCGACGGGGAUCUGGCAGCCGCCCUGAGGACUGAGUUCAUCCUUUCACAUCAAACAAACAUCAAAUUCCAUUUCCUGAGCGAGAAAUCGCGAUGCCUCUCGUCUGGCGCCUGCCUAGGCCUCCCUACCUGGAUGCUCUUUCCUGCUCUGGCCUCUGUCCUGGGCGUCCGACAGGUUCUGCCGACAAAAUGAAGUUUAAUGAGCAGUGUCAGAAGCUGGCUCGCCUCCCUAGGGUAGGGUUCCCAAAGGGGCGGACAACUCUGGCCGCUGUGCAGCCCUCCGUUGACCUGUUGUCCAGGGGCAAGGCGAGACGUUGUGAGAACAUCCCGUCCGUGGACCACCGCACGGCCAGGACUCCAAUGUGGAGGGUCGGAUCCCUGGAGGUCACUGCUCGGCCCUUCUCUGGAGACCGCCGACCAGCAUGCCAUCCCAGCUGCAUUGUGGGGGUGAAGGGUGGGGUGACCACCACCGAGGAUUGAGGCCACCCCUCCGUCUCUCAUCUUGCCAAGCCAUCACCAGGCGGUCAGGACUCCUGGGCAGUGUCGCCUCCGGGGCCAUGCUGGCGUCUGUAACCUCCAUCCACCGCCGUGGUCCCAUCCAGCCAUCCCUGCCCCGCCCGCCUGGCCCGCCCGCUCUGAUCGUGACGUCUCCAUCGGCCUUUCCCUUGUGCGUAGUCGUCACUCACAGGGGUUCCAACGCCCGCGGGGGCGGCCCAGCGGGACCGUUGACUCUCCUUCCCGGCUCGAGGAGUCCAGAGGACACUCGGCUUCAGAUUAUCCCCUCGUUGAGGAGAAGACACCGUGUCCUGGGAGAAAUAACCCACCCAACACAGACUAGGGACUUUGCACGUGGAACACGAGAGCUCUGGAAAGUUCUAGAAACGCAGCCAGCGUUCGUCACCUCGGAACUCUGAAACGAUGCCUCGGGCGCUUUGCCACUUGCACCUCGGGGUGACAGUCGCCUUGCGGGUCCGGCAGCCGCCCAGGACUUUGUGCUGUGUUUUUUUCCGCCGCCUUGUUUAAAAAUCGGGCGGGAUGGGGAUGGCAUCUCCCGUGGGCCCCGCGGUGUGGGGCGUGGACGUCUCGACGAAUGUCCUCGGCAGUGGUGCAGUCCAGCAACGUCCACCCUCCCGCCCCGGUCCUGUCCACCCACACCCUGGGGAGCCUUUUUCUACAUUGUCCUAAACCCUGCCAUCAUUCCGUUGCGCAGGUGUGACGUGUGGCGCCCCGGUGUUGUCGCGUCAUAGCUUCUGCCUCCCCACCCACCACCCCACCCAACCCCACCCCGUGGAGGCAGGCAAUCGAGACCAAGCUGAGACAUUAAUGGCUAUUCCAGAAAAUAAAAUAUUUUUGAAACCGCCCGGCACGGGUGCUGCUGUCUGUCUGGUGGUGGGAACAGAACGCCCUCCCCCGGCAAAUCCGUUGCCGGUAGGGUAAGCGAGCG